rnacentral:tRNA from 1 species
CGGGGCGUAGCGCAGCCUGGUAGCGCACUUGGUUCGGGACCAAGGGGCCGGAGGUUCAAAUCCUCUCGCCCCGA